GGGGCAGGGACCGGGGUGGGGGGAGGGGAGGGCAGGAGUAGGGACUCGAGGAAUCCGGGAGCGGCCAGGAGCUAGAAUUUGCCUCUGGAGUGUGACCCCUGGGGGUCCGAACUCAGCUUAGUCGGUUUACGUUGACUGACUUGUCUGAACCUCAGUUUGCUCACUUGUAAAAUGGGGAAUGUGUUGAGACCUCGCGAGGAAAGCGGACGCAAAGCGCUUGGCAAGGCGCGCAUGCGGUGCGCCAGAGGCUGCCGAGCCCGCCCAAGGCCGCCCUGCCCCGGCCCGCACCCUCACGGCGCCCGAGACCGGUUCUCUUCUAGAAGGUGUCUACGCCAUCGCUCCUUCCUCAGGCGCAGCGCCGCCGGACGUGGCGGCCAACGGCUCCUCCUGCGCCUCCCCACUGACAGCCCUGGUCUGCCCGAGCGUGCGCCCUCGCCCUUGCUCGCGUACCGGCUUCGCCAAGGGGGUCCUUUGUCCACCUCGACCUCCUCGGUGGCUGGAACCAGCCCGAUUCUGCCGCCUCCAGGAGGGAGGAGCCCGGGGGGUGGGGCGAGAAGCGGGACACCUCCCAGCUUCAUCCAGCGCCCAGGCUCUGAUCAGCCUCCCCAAGGUGCCAGCUGCGCCCAGUGCCAAGACAGGCCCACGGCCACUAACUGCUCUUGGCAACCGUCGAAGCGCCCAAGCAACCUCCGGUACGGGGCCUCAGGCCUCUUGCAAAUCUGAGAAAAUUUAGGCUCCUCCUUCCCUCCCCGCUCUGUCUCCUUUUCCCGGGUUAGCGGCGAGAGAUCAGCGGGAUCCCACAAAGCAGGUUCCGCCGCUAACAGAUCCUGGGACUCGAAGCCCAGUCUGGAACUUUUCUGAGGGCGGGAGGACCUGGGGUCAGACUGCAGCGAGCUCCCAGUCAGGGAAAACCGCUUGGACAAGCCGUGUCCCUCCAGGCCAGGGAAACAGAGGGUAGUCCGAGCGCUGGCGCGGGGAUGUGACAGAGGAGUCCACGCUGGGAACUGACUCGGCCGGGCACCGGAUCGCCCUCUUGACUCUGGAAUCUGCAUCGCCCCUCCUCCACUGUCUGCUUUUGGGGUGUCUUCCAAGACCCUCCCCAGUCCCCCUCUCCUCCUUACAAAUAGACGGGCAGAGAAGGGAAGCGUGCCUUCUCAGAAACUUAAAGGCAGAUUCCUUACUAUCUGAGCCACCAGGGAAGCCCAAGUUAAGUAUCCGCCAAAUGGCCAGGAAAGGCAGAAGGUUUGGGAAGUUACAAUCCCUGUGAGGACUCCAUCUCUUGGUUUAUUAUCUCCAUCCCUCUCUAGAAUGAGGUUCAUUGCUUUUGCACAAGAUGCCGAAAGGCUGGCAACGCAUGAAGGUGUCUGCUGUGUGUGUUCUGAGGCUGUGCAAGAUUAUUUAAAAAAAAACAACAACAACAAACUGGAGGAUAGUUGCUUUUCAACGUUGUGUUAGUUUCUGCUGUACAACAAUGUGAAUCAGCCUUUCACAUUAGGUCAUCUCAGCCCCGACACUGAGGAUGUGAGAAUUAUAGAAUUUCCCUGUAUGAAUAUGAAGAGUGGUGCUUAGAAGAAGGAAAGGGAAGCUCUUCCUUGGGAAGUGAUUGAAAACAAACACCAGAACCUGACAAUUUGUGCACACAGUUCCCUUCUGAUUUGUCUCUUCCAUUGGAGCAUCAUUAGUUAAAAUACCCAAGUUACAGGAUAUUAAGUGUGGCUUUCGGUUUAAAUACUUUAUUUCUAAAUUUGAAAAACUGGUUGUCAAGACACUUUAGUUGGACAAAGACUCAGAUGAUAAUAACAUCUGACUGCUUUUAAUUUCCAGCUAUCUUAAUUUUUGUUUUUUUAUUUUUAAUUGGAAGGUAAUUGUUUUACAAUGUUGUAUAGGUUUCUGCCACACAACAAUGCAAAUCAGCCAUAAGUGCGAGUGUAUGUGUGUGUGUGUGUGUGUAUAUAUAUAUAUAUAUAUAUAUAUAUAUAUAUAUACACACUUAUGGAUGUGUGCAUAUAGGAAGUGAAAGUUGCUCAGUCAUGUCCAACUCUUUACCACUCCAUGGACUGUAGCCCACCAGGCUCCUCUCUCCAUGGGAUUCUCC
ensembl:lncRNA